AGGUGCUGCAUGGUUGUCGUCAGCUCGUGCCGUGAGGUGUCGGGUUAAGUCCCAUAACGAGCGCAACCCCUACUCUUAGUUGCCAGCACGUAAUGGUGGGAACUCUAAGGAGACUGCCGGUGAUAAACCGGAGGAAGGUGGGGAUGACGUCAAGUCAUCAUGGCCCUUAUGGGAUGGGCUACACACGUGCUACAAUGGCCAGUACAGAGGGCAGCAAACUCGCGAGAGUAAGCAAAUCCCAGAAAGCUGGUCGUAGUCCGGAUUGGAGUCUGCAACUCGACUCCAUGAAGUUGGAAUCGCUAGUAAUCGCGAAUCAGAAUGUCGCGGUGAAUACGUUCCCGGGCCUUGUACACACCGCCCGUCACACCAUGGGAGUGGGCUGCAAAAGAAGUGGGUAGUUUAACCUUCGGGAAAACGCUCACCACUUUGUGGUUCAUGACUGGGGUGAAGUCCAAGCAACAUA
rnacentral:rRNA from 1 species